rnacentral:rRNA from 1 species
UAGGGAAUCUUCGGCAAUGGGGGGAACCCUGACCGAGCAACGCCGCGUGAGUGAAGAAGGUUUUCGGAUCGUAAAGCUCUGUUGUUAAGGAAGAACGAGUGUGAGAAUGGAAAGUUCAUGCUGUGACGGUACUUAACCAGAAAGGGACGGCUAACUACGUGCCAGCAGCCGCGGUAAUACGUAGGUCCCGAGCGUUGUCCGGAUUUAUUGGGCGUAAAGCGAGCGCAGGCGGUUAGAUAAGUCUGAAGUUAAAGGCAGUGGCUCAACCAUUGUAGGCUUUGGUAACUGUUUAACUUGAGUGCAGAAGGGGAGAGUGGAAUUCCAUGUGUAGCGGUGAAAUGCGUAGAUAUAUGGAGGAACACCGGUGGCGAAAGCGGCUCUCUGGUCUGUAACUGACGCUGAGGCUCGAAAGCGUGGGGAGCGAACAGG